UGAUUUUAAAAUGACAAAGUAUGAUCAAAUGAAGUAUUAAUGUUACAAGUAAAAUCUGAGAAUGAUUCUAACAUAAAAAUGAUUAAAUGAAUAAUUAAUGUGAUAAAAAGUAAAAGUUGAUUAGAAGAAUGUGUUUUACAAACAAGUGAAAUGAAUGAUUAUAUGAGUUGUUUUUCUGGCUGUUAAAAAGAGGAAAUGAGAAAAGCUGUUUUUGUGCAGAGGUGAAAAAAGAAGAAGUUGAUGAUGUCGCAAGCAAGGCCAGAAGAGCUGAUGAUAAAAACAACUGUUUAGAACAUUAAGAAGUAAUAAGAUAUGGAAUGAAUAAUAAUUAAUGAAAAUGUUGUAUAUGAUCAUAUGAAAUGUUUUUAUGUGAAAAAAGAAGAAGUUGAUGAUGUCGCAAGCAAGGCCAGAAGAGCUGAUGAUAAAAACAACUGUUUAGAACAUUAAGAAGUAAUAAGAUAUGGAAUGAAUAAUAAUUAAUGAAAAUGUUGUAUAUGAUCAUAUGAAAUGUUUUUAUGUG